CGGGGGGGGCAAGCGUUGUUCGGAAUUACUGGGCGUAAAGGGUUUGUAGGUGGCCAACUAAGUCAGACGUGAAAUCCCUCAGCUUAACUGGGGAACUGCGUCUGAUACUGGUUGGCUUGAGUGCAGGAGAGGAACGCGGAAUUCCAGGUGUAGCGGUGAAAUGCGUAGAUAUCUGGAGGAACACCGGUGGCGAAGGCGGCGUUCUGGACUGCAACUGACACUGAGAAACGAAGCCAGGGUAGCAAACGGGAUUAGAUACCCCGGUAGUCCUGGCCCUAAACGAUGAAUGCUUGGUGUGGCGGGUAUCGAUCCCUGCCGUGCCGCAGUUAACGCGUUAAGCAUUCCGCCUGGGGAGUACGGUCGCAAGGCUG
rnacentral:rRNA from 1 species